rnacentral:rRNA from 1 species
UACAGAGGGUGCGAGCGUUAAUCGGAAUUACUGGGCGUAAAGCGUGCGUAGACGGCUAUCUAAGUCGGGUGUGAAAAGCCCCCGGGGCUCAACCUGGGAAUUGCAUUCGAGACUGAAUAGCUAGAGUACGGUAGAGGGAAAGUUGGAAUUUCCGGUGUAGCGGUGAAAAUGCGUAGAUAUCGGAAGGAACAUCAGUGGCGAAAGCGACUUCCUGGACCAGUACCGACGUCAGGCACGAAAGCGUGGGGAGCAAACAGG